UACAGAGGGUCCCAAGCGUUGUUCGGAUUUACUGGGCGUAAAGGGUGCGUAGGUGGUGAGGUAAGUCUUGAUGUGAAAUCUCCGAGCUUAACUCGGAAAUGGCAUUGGAAACUACCUUGCUAGAGGGUUGGAGGGGGACUGGAAUACUUGGUGUAGCAGUGAAAUGCGUAGAUAUCAAGUGGAACACCGGUGGCGAAAGGCGGGUCUCUGGGCAGUAACUGACGCUGAGGAGCGAAAGCGUGGGGAGCGAACAGG
rnacentral:rRNA from 1 species